CCUACGGGAGGCAGCAGUGGGGAAUAUUGCACAAUGGGGGAAACCCUGAUGCAGCGACGCCGCGUGAGCGAUGAAGUAUUUCGGUAUGUAAAGCUCUAUCAUCAGGGAAGAAAAUGACGGUACCUGACUAAGCAGCCCCGGCUAACUACGUGCCAGCAGCCGCGGUAAUACGUAGGGGGCAAGCGUUAGCCGGAUUUACUGGGUGUAAAGGGAGCGUAGGCGGCGGUGCACGUCAGAUGUGAAAGCCCGGUGCUCAACCCCGGGCCUGCAUUGGGAACUGUUCUGCUAGAGUGUCGGAGGGGCAGGCGGAAUUCCUAGUGUAGCGGUGAAAUGCGUAGAUAGUAGGAGGAACACCAGUGGCGAAGGCGGCCUGCUGGACGAUGACUGACGUUGAGGCUCGAAAGCGUGGGGAGCAAACAGGAUUAGAUACCCCAGUAGUC
rnacentral:rRNA from 1 species